rnacentral:lncRNA from 1 species
GUGGAUGAAUUGGGCUGUAGCAACGGGACUUUUGUUGCAGGAUACCGGAUCUAUAUUGAUGGAGAGUUUCAUAAGUACCUUGUGAGUUCAGCUUGUACAAAGACCCUGCUGGAGAAUCUUGACCUCUCAGUUCCCUUUAGCAUCAGUGUGCAGACUGUGGGGACUGGUGGUUUAGUUUCAGAGAAGGUGUACGUUGAAUUUAAUCAUCACGCAAACAAAGGCACUUCAUUAUCUGGAUGCAGAAUCUCCCCUGAGGAGCAAGCUCGGGAUUGCGGCUCUCCUGAGGUGAUUGGAAGCCGAAGAUUAGACCCACCAGCAUCCUGUAAUGAUGCUCAUGUUGGAGGACCAAAGAAGAUUGGAAAAAACAGCAGCUGGACAACCAGAUUCAGAAGAUUAGGCAAGUGAAUUGAUAUUGGCUGAAAGGCCACAAGGCAGUGAAUCAUGAUAAAUUACAACAGACUCAGCUGAAGAAAACAAAUAUGUAUGAGACAGCAC